rnacentral:rRNA from 1 species
UACGAAGGGGGCUAGCAUUGCUCGGAAUCACUGGGCGUAAAGGGUGCGUAGGCGGGUCUUUAAGUCAGGGGUGAAAUCCUGGAGCUCAACUCCAGAACUGCCUUUGAUACUGAGGAUCUUGAGUACGGGAGAGGUGAGUGGAACUGCGAGUGUAGAGGUGAAAUUCGUAGAUAUUCGCAAGAACACCAGUGGCGAAGGCGGCUCACUGGCCCGUAACUGACGCUGAGGCACGAAAGCGUGGGGAGCGAACGGG